rnacentral:rRNA from 1 species
GUUCGGGUAUGGCUCAGAUUGAACGCUGGCGGGAUGCUUUACACACAUGCAAGUCGAACGGCAGCACGGACUUCGGUCUGGUGGCGAGUGGCGAACGGGUGAGUAAUGUAUCGGAACGUGCCUAGUAGCGGGGGAUAACUACGCGAAAGCGUAGCUAAUACCGCAUACGCCCUUCGAAGGGAAAGCGAGGACCUUCGGGCACUCGCACUAUUAGAGCUGACCGAUAUCGGAUUGGCUAGUUGGUGGGAAUAACGGCUCACCAAGGCGACGAUCCGUAGCUGGUUUUGAGAGGACGACCAGCCACACUGGGACUGAGACACGGCCCAGACUCCUACGGGAGGCAGCAGUGGGGGAAUUUUUGGACAAUGGAAACCCUGAUCCAGCCAUCCCGCGUGUGCGAUGAAGGCCUUCGGGUUGUAAGCACUUUUGGCAGGAAAGAAACGGCACGGGAUAAUACCCCGUGCAACUGACAGUACCUGCAGAAUAAGCACCGGCUAACUACGUGCCAGCAGCCGCGGUAAUACGUAGGGUGCAAGCGUUAAUCGGAAUUACUGGGCGUAAAGCGUGCGCAGGCGGUUCGGAAAGAAGAUGUGAAAUCCAGAGCUUAACUUUGGAACUGCAUUUUUAACUACCGAGCUAGAGUGUGUCAGAGGGAGGUGGAAUUCCGCGUGUAGCAGUGAAAUGCGUAGAUAUGCGGAGGAACACCGAUGGCGAAGGCAGCCUCCUGGGAUAACACUGACGCUCAUGCACAGCGUGGGAGCAAACAGGAUUAGAUACCCUGGUAGUCCACGCCUAAACGAUGUCAACUAGCUGUUGGGGCCUUCAGACCUUGGUAGCGCAGCUAACGCGUGAAGUUGACCGCCUGGGGAAUUACGGUCGCAAGAUUAAAACUCAAAGGAAUUGACGGGGACCCGCACAAGCGGUGGAUGAUGUGGAUUAAUUCGAUGCAACGCGAAAAAGCCUUACCUACCCUUGACAUGUCUGGAAUCGAAGAGAUUUGGGAGUGCUCGCACGAGAACCGGAACACAGGUGCUGCAUGGCUGUCGUCAGCUCGUGUCGUGAGAUGUUGGGUUAAGUCCCGCAACAGGCGCAACCCUUGUCAUUAGUUGCUACGAAAGGGCACUCUAAUGAGACUGCCGGUGACAAACCGGAGGAAGGUGGGGAUGACGUCAGAGUCCUCAUGGCCCUUAUGGGUAGGGCUUCACACGUCAUACAAUGGUCGGGACAGAGGGUCGCCAACCCGCGAGGGGGGGGACAAUCCCAGAAACCCGAUCGUAGUCCGGAUCGCAGUCUGCAACUCGACUGCGUGAAGUCGGAAUCGCUAGUAAUCGCGGAUCAGCAUGUCGCGGUGAAUACGUUCCCGGUCCUUGUACACACCGCCCGUCACACCAUGGGAGUGGGUUUUACCAGAAGUAGUUAGCUAACCGUAAGGAGGCGAUUACCACGGUAAGUUCAUGACUGGGGUGAAGUCGUAACAAGGUAA